rfam:Schistosoma margrebowiei strain Zambia genome assembly, scaffold: SMRZ_contig0008345
AUCUAGCUGACGAGUUCCAGAUAGGGUGAAACGCGUGUCCUGGUAU